AAACAUGGCUCACCACUGCCAAAAUAGUAUACACUCAUGGUGCAGGGUAAUUAUAAACAGCAACUACAAAAAUCCAAUCCAAAAUAUAUUUUCUUUAUAAAACAAAUUGUUGCCGCCUAAUGGUUCAAUACUGUAACUGAAACAUUAACUAUAUUAUUUUUGUGAUUUGGGCUUGGGAGGGUAAUAACACACCCAACUGUCAGACAGGAUGCCAUGUGUAUUCAGUAUUUAACUAUCAUGACAACAAUUUGCCUCCGUAGCCUGCAAGCUAUAUUUGACAUACCAUAUGCAUUACUGGUGGAAAAGAAACACAUUAGUGGAUGACAAUUUAAGGGCUAACAGAGAAUAAUUGAUCAUCAACAUAUGUUAGAAACCUGACAAAACUAAAGCCAUAUAUUCCUUCAUGCUGAAAAAGAAAAGGUUCUGCAUCAUUUGUAAGGUCAAUUUCAAUGCCAUUACAAGGUUAGUGGGUUAACAAAUGCUGAAAAAUCCUUUUCCAACACAACUACUGUGACACAAAAUCAAGAUCUCUAGCCUCAUCUUUAGAAAAAUCCCCUCGGUCAGCGCCCCUGCUGAGAGUAUUUUAGAUGCCUUAGGGGGCCUUUGUAAUGCACAAUGCUUCCCUCAAAAGGUCUGGUAUCUACAUAUUCAUUAAGACCUCCAAAACAAAAGAAGGGGAAUUAAAGUAUUGAAAAAAGCCUUCAAUUAAAGGGGGUUGCAGGGGUGGGGGUACACACAUUUAUGUAGAGAAAUAAUAGAGAAGACAUGCAUAAAAUGUGGGAUUAAAUUGUAAAAAAACAAAAACAAAACAGGUACAUAGGUACAGUGGAUAUCAAAUGUCGACACACCCCUGUUUCAACUGCCAGUUUUUUUGUGAUACUUCCACCAUUAAUGUGACCUAUAACCUGUACAACUCAAUUGAAAAAAAAAAAUCUUAGACUAAAGAGGCCAUAAAUCUUUUGGGGAGGGGAAGUACAAAUAAACAACAGAGAUAAUGUGGUUGUAACUGGGGAUGUGGCUGUGCUCAGAAUUACCCAAUCGCAAUCAAUGUCAUGUUAAAUGGGAGUCAGCCCACACCUGCCACCAUUUAAAGUGCCUCUAACUCAAAAUGAAGUUCAGAUAUUCUAGUAGAAAUGGUGUAUCUUGGUCUUAUUUUUUCUGUAACAAAAACUUGGGUUGGUGUUUUAACAGGGGUGUGUAGACUUUUUAUAUCCACUGUAUUUUCCCCACCUCUGAGCUUACAAUACAUGACACUGUCACGCUUCAGAACUCUCUCCCUUUCCCCCCUCCUCACCCAAUCCAUGCUGUCUCUCACUCUUCUUCGUGUCUUUGUAACACAGAUGCGCACUUGAGCGCAAACGCUUGAAGGAACACACUCCCGACACACCGCAGCUGUUCUGUCAGCAUGCCAGGCUCUGACGAAGCCGCGCCAGCACCGUGCCAGGUUAUCAAAGCAGACGCUGGCAACUGUAUCAGAGAGAAGGGCGCAGUGGAGUGCAAAGACCUUGUUGACGCCUUCCAUGCCUGUGCAAAGACCCUGUCUGAAGGAUCGUGACCUAAAAAAGAAACAACACUUGCAGCAGGAAGUGGACUGAGCCAUCAGAAAAACUGGAGAGGGGGAGACAUGUCUGUCCACUUGAUUUCUCAAUGCCAUAGGUGUUUUGUAAAUAUUGUUACUGUAUAUCAUUAUGGACUGAUUGUCAAUGCUGUAUUUGUAUCGCCCUAUUUUACAAUAAACUUCAAUUAUCUCAACUACA